AUUCAAAUCCUCCGAAAGGAGGAAGCUAGAAGGUUGGCACAUAUUAGCUUGCCCAAUCUCCGAAGUCCCUAGACCUAUUAUCUCACAUUCAUCUCUCAUAUUUACUACUAUAGACUAUACUGCUGCCAAAAUCUGAGCUGAAGGCGGUGAGGUCAGAUGAGCACCAUGCUGGUGAAGUUGGGUGUGAUCCAAGUUGAAGAGAUGAACUAGAGAAUGAGUGUGGUGGCCG
rnacentral:lncRNA from 1 species